AUUUCAUCUUUCCAACACUUUCUAAACUCAAGGAAAACAUCCCUUUCUUUUCCUCAAAAUCGGCAGCCCAUAUACCUCAAACACCCACAUUUCUCAAGUCUUAAACAACCUUAUUAAACCUUUAAAACCUUUUUUUUAAAGAAGAUCUAAAAAGGUAGCAAAUAUGGAGGAUCAUUAGGAGCUUAUUCUUGUUAUUUUGGAAGCUCUAUUCUCUUCAUAAUCUUCAUUCCAAAGCUCACUAACCUCUUGCAAAAUUGUUAUUACGCGCUAAUUGGAUACCCGAACUGCUAGCAUACAUACGGACGCAAACUUGUAACUAAGUGGAUCUUGGUGCAACAAAUUAUGAAGUUUCAAGUUUACUAUGAAGACGAUGUCAUCCGUAUUUUG